rnacentral:misc_RNA from 1 species
AAAAUGUCGCAGUAACCCAUACUGAACACGCUUUAUAAUGGUUUAAAGGAAAACUUUAAUAACCCAACCAUGGUGUUCCAAACGAAAGGACUAACAUUCCUUGUGCUGGUAAUUCUUGGCCUUAUUGUCAGGAAGUGAUGCACAAGAAUCGACUACUGAAACAGACAAAGCUGACCCACGUGCUUUUUUGAAAUGCCCCACCGCGCGUGCAGCGACCUUUAUGUACUUCUCGGACUCUUGGACCAGGGUCCCAGAGCCCAAUACGGAUUACGAUUCUCUGAACUGUGGAAACGUCAAGAUACCAAACGGAGAUCUGGAAGGAAAAUGCGGAGUAUGUGGGGACUACUACAAUGGACCCCGACACAAUGAAGUUCCGAAUGGAAAGUAUGCCUCCAUUCGAUACCCCACCUAUGUCUAUCGGGAGGGCUCGGUCAUUAACGUGACUGUAGAAGUAUCUGAAAACGGCAACGGUGGAUACUUUAUGUUUAAGCUGUGUGACUCGGACGAUGCUCAACUCCAGGAAAAACAAAGCUGCUUCGACAACACGGUGCUUAGUCUAGCGAGGUCUCCCAACGUGAAGAAGGUUUAUGUUCCCAAGGUUAAUGCCUCCAAUGACAUCGUGGUCCCCCUGCAGCUACCCGAUGGCUUUGAGUGUAAACUGUGUACCAUGCAGUGGACUUGGGUCACCAAUAUUGAUGUAGGAUGUCAAGUGAUUGAAGGUGAACGUAUUUGCGGACAAGGAAUUGGUCCGCAGACGACUCUUGUCAACUGCGCCGACAUCUCCAUAAUUUCUAAGUCCAUCGAUAUUCCAGAAAGUUUUCCAUGGCCAGAUUUUACGUCUAAGUAUGACAGUAUGGCACAUAAAGAUGAUGACCAUAACAGAACAGCAGUGGACCCACCAUUCCGUCCCCCAGUAAUAGAGAGAAUAAAGGACGAUGAUACUCCAACCACCACAAAGAAACCACCACCCGUUCUUCCAGUGUUUCCAAAAAUAGAAAACCCUUACAACGGAAGAAAACCCACAAUACCAGACAUAUCGGACAAACUGUUGAAACCUGAUCAACCAGUCCCCGCCAAGAAGCCCAAACUAGACAUUAGAGAUUACAAGAAGACUUUUGGGGGGUUAGGUCUUGGACUGUUGGAAAUACUGCUCCCGGCGGGCCUUCUACUGGGGUUCGGGGGGAUGCUCUCUGACCGUCUGGAGGAUCGACGCAGACUCAACGUUAACGCACAACCAGGGUUAUUACUUAAUGGUGGCGUCGGUCUUAGUCCGGUUGCUGCAGAACAUGGAGUGUUAAUUGGUGAGCAGAUUUUACCCUUUGGUGCAUCGGCAGCCGCCGCUGGGGGUCUUGUGGGUGGUGCUAUCAGGACAGGAGUACCUGGUGCAGGUGCUGUACCGGUAGCUGGCCUCUCUCCAGUUGUCACUGGACUGGAUUUCAAUGACGCGCAGCUUCAACAGAUCAUCCCGUUGAUACCCAUAAUAUCCACGCCAGAGGCACACCAGUUGAUUCCAAAGUCAUUUCCGGACAGCAGUAGAUUAGGUUACUUGAUACCGCUUAUUGUAGAACGAAGACGUCUUGUGCAAAUCUUCCCGCAUCUCAAUCCCCACCAGAUAACACAAAUGCACCUGCAGUACAGAACAAUGCAGAGACAAGGACGAAUAGGAGGCGGGAUCCAGGGUCAAAGUGGAAUCAAUGGCGCAAAUCAAGGUCAAAAUGGUUUUGGGGGCAUUUCGCAAGGUCAAGGAUGGUUUUGGCGGGUCUUUCCAAGGUCAAGGUGGAGUUGUAGGAGGGGCUAAUAUCAAUGCCAUUCAAAAUGCCCAAUAUCAGUCCGGGAACCAACAGUGGUAUUCUAACAAUGUCCAAACUAAUCAGAAUUCUAGGGUUCUUUGAAUUGCCCCAAGAUCAUUCAUUUUCAAUCGAUAGUAAAUAAUAUCAAUUCAACCAAUUCUGGCUCAAGACCGUCACGUGGUGACAUUGCUAACCCAGAAUUUGAAUUUGACAGAGAACCGGGUGUUUUGGUCGAAAGAGAGAGUCGCAAGAGAGUAUCUCCUUACAGCGAAAAUUGUCCACCUGAAAAGCAAAUUUGUAGAAGUAAGUUUACCUCUAAAGAACCCACGAUCUACGGGACCAUUUCCAUCAUGGAGAUGAUCUGUGAACUUGAGUGUGAGGAUGGGAAGCAUUCCUGUCCGGCGAAUAUUUGUAUCUGCGCAUGCCCAGAAGUUGACGACGCCUCGCUGUUAGAAAUACUGGAAUCCUUAGACGAUCGGUCACGGGUGGCUUGAUGUUACCAUGAGAACAGCUUUGAAGAUUUCCGUAUUUGGCAUCAUUAAAAUAAAAUGAGUGGAAAAACAA